rnacentral:sRNA from 1 species
AAUUCCUGUAUUCGGUCAGCGAGGUCC